UACGAAGGGGGCUAGCGUUGUUCGGAAUUACUGGGCGUAAAGCGCACGUAGGCGGAUACUUAAGUUAGGGGUGAAAUCCCGGGGCUCAACCCCGGUACUGCCUUUAAUACUGGGUAUCUCGAGUUCGAGAGAGGUGAGUGGAAUUCCGAGUGUAGAGGUGAAAUUCGUAGAUAUUCGGAGGAACACCAGUGGCGAAGGCGGCUCACUGGCUCGAUACUGACGCUGAGGUGCGAAAGCGUGGGGAGCAAACAGG
rnacentral:rRNA from 1 species